UAUCUUUCUUAUCAUUUCUGAUUAUAUUUAUUGAAUCUUCUCUCAUUUCUUCAUUAGUCUAGCUAGUGGUCUAUUUUAUUAAUUUAAAAAAAGCAGCUCCUGGAUUCAUUGAUUUUUUUGAAGGAUUUUUUUGUGUGUUUCUAUCUCCUUCAGUUCAGCUUGGAUCUUGGUUAUUUCUUGUCUUUUGCUAGCUUUGGGGUUUGUUUGCACUUGGUUCUCUAGUUCUUUUUGUUGUGAUGUUAGGUUGUUAGCUUGAGAUCUGAAGGCUGUUGUUGCAAGCUGCAAGUAAUCCAGAAAGCCAAAUAAACUAAUCAACAGACAGCAGCAAGACCCCCAAAGGGGGUCAAGAGUCCAAUCUGCCAGGAGUGGGCAGGGAGUUCAGAGUUCCUGUGAUGUGUCCACCCUAACCUUGUUUGGGGCAGAAAUCACAAGUUUAGGAAUGAAACUAGUUUUUGGGUCAGACAUAUGAGGCUGAUCAGAAGCGUGAUUGCAGAUGGUCCCAUAAGAGAACAAGCCCUUUCUUGUGGGCAUUUGUGUGUGAUGCACACAGUCUAGCCAGCAUCCAUGAUGUUUUCAUAGUUUGGGAUCCCAUGCAGGCAUGUCCUAAUCUGCAAUGAUACCAGAGUCUGAGUUCUGUUUAUUGUGCUUAUAGAGUUUUUCGUUCAGCACGGUUUGUGCUGAGGCUGAAAGAGCCAGCAGCAGAUAGUAUAAGGUUUCAUCUCAGAGUCAGGUCCAGGCAAUUAGGAUCUGUGAGUUAGGAUUCCCCACAAAAAGCCAACAGCUUUUGUUCCGCUGUAGCAAAGCCAAAGCCCUGAAGAGUGAGAAAGCAGUGUUGCUGGUCCCAGUGACGGGCAAGGCUUUCCUAAGCCCUGUUUGGCUUGUUAUUUGCUGAGUCCAAAUGGACCCACUCAAAAAUAUGCUCAGAGGCCAGAAAAUUAUCAGCCUCUAAGGCGCAGGCAUCUGAUCUUACAAGAGCUCAUUAGGAACUAAAAACUAAUAUUUAAAAUUCUAAAAGUGUAUCUCCAAUUAGAGACUGCCUGUCUUUUCAUAUUGUCUCCCUUUUAUCAGAGGCUCCCAUAGGUGAAAAUCAUAGUAAAAAUUGUCAGUUAUAGAAAUUAUUUUCCUUUUAAUACUCAAAAACUUGCAUUUCAAUUCCCUCACCAGCUGCAGCAAGCAAGGCAGUUGUAUACCAUCCUGGGUUUUGUUUGCUUUUGGCAGCUUUCCUGAUCAGGAUGAUUCCUCCAAUGUUUAUGAAAUUACAAGCAUAGAAUA
rnacentral:lncRNA from 1 species